GAUAAAUAUGUCCAAAACUAAAACCAUACACGUUCCAAUAUUGGCGUAUAUGGUAUUCAAUUGGACCAUAAAAUAUUGGUUAACUAUUCCUCUUAAGGAUAUCGGCUAAAAGAUAAACUCCUUAAUAAAGUAAUACCUACAAAAUUAUAAU